GACCCCUGACAAUGGGCAAAGAGACACUUUGUGGGGUUGCUCUUAUAUCAGACGGGGCAGAGCAGGUGGUAGUCCUUUGUUCAUCCUAACUUGAUGCCUGGCUUGGUGGCCUAAGCUGUUUUAUGCCUAGAACACCUAA